CGACGGGUGAGUAACGCGUGGGCAACCUGCCCUGUACUGGGGGAUAACACCUGGAAACAGGUGCUAAUACCGCAUAAGCGCGCAGUGCCGCAUGGCGCGGCGCGGAAAACCCCGGUGGUACAGGAUGGGCCCGCGUCUGAUUAGCUGGUUGGCAGGGUAACGGCCUACCAAGGCGACGAUCAGUAGCCGGCCUGAGAGGGUGGACGGCCACACUGGGACUGAGACACGGCCCAGACUCCUACGGGAGGCAGCAG
rnacentral:rRNA from 1 species